rnacentral:lncRNA from 1 species
GAAAGAAUCACUACUCUCGAAGGAAUAUUUAAAAACUUGAAUGAUUCUAUACGUAUCAAAUAGACUAUUUGGAGACUAAAUAAUGUAACACCAAAAUUAGGAUCUGGUUUUCAUAUGCACUGUUUUAAUUUUAGGCUAAAUAAAUUUAUAUUUGUCUUCCUUUUCAUAUGAUCUGGUUUUCCGUUUUUGUUAUGAUGCAUAUAGAUCACGGACUCACACUGCGCAUGCCAAGGCAUGAGAAAUAUAGAUCAUUGCUUGUGCAGAUCAAACACGACUACAACUGUUGGCGGUGUCAAAGUGUCACUUGGCUGCAAGAACGGAUGACCAAAAUUCAUGAAAAUAAAGUAGCAGACAAUGGACCCACCUUAAACAAUCCAUCAUAGUCCUCUAAAAAAACAACCCAUCAUAGAGUUGAAGGCCAAUCUACAGUCAGGGUCAAUGUUUCCAAUCUGUAUUACAAGUAAAAACGCCACAAGCAUUAUUGCUCCGGCUUAAAUUAAGAGACAUGAAAUGCUAUAAAUUGAUAUAGGAAAUGGAAAGUUCAAAUAAGGCAUAAAUUAAUACGUAUCAUAUUGCAAACCAGAAGUAGAGUUGAAACUUGAAGCUUUGAGUGCAGUACAUGUCCCAUUUUCAGUAGGGCGGCAAAUGCAAUCAGAAACAUCUCCCAUGGAUCGACAUAAUCCAAACAAACAAUACCUCCAUAUGAAAGCAUGCUAAUAAUUCUCAGAAGGUGACAAUGACAUAUGCAUUCUGUUGAAAGCAUGCUAAACAAAGGUAACCCCACCAACAUAUGCCUAUGCCACCUAUCCCACUCUCAUGUUGGCAAAGUAAAGACCUGCUGACAGUGACAGCAAGCGGCAACUAAGGUUAGCUUUCCCUCCUGUUUAACCAGGCAACCACCUAAUCAAAUUAGGCACGCCCCACACAUUUGGCAGAGUCUAAAAUCUAAAAUUACUUGAAAUCAAUUUACUCUUGAUGAGAAGAAAUUUGUUUAGAGCAAAAUAUAGAACCCACACGCUAGAUCAGUUAAAGGAUGCCAACAACACAUGGUAGAUAAUUUGUGAUGAAUAAUAUUUUACUUAAUGCUCUACAUGUUCAACAUCAGAAGCAUUGCUACCAUCUUGAUUCAUCUGAGAUCUGUCUUAACAAAUGGAUGCAUCCAAAUCUACUGGAACUGAGCACUAUCGACAUAUCCUAUUAAAUGGCAAAACAUGGAUGGAAUUCACUAAAUGGAAUGCAUAAGCUAGAUACAUGUCCAAGAUCAAACAGAAUCAGAGCCUUUUUCCCUUCCCAAUUGCACAAACUGAAACCAGGUUACACACGUUGAUUAGUUGAUCUAGACUGAACAACAUGAAGCAGGGAUAGAUAUGGUGGCAGGUAC